rnacentral:misc_RNA from 1 species
UAAUUAGAUGCGAGCCAUAAAAAUAUUGAAUGAAAAUAAGAGAAGAGAUGCCUGUAUUUUUUUUUUCUUGCUUUUGUCCUGGUUUUUGUCUUUUUCAGGCGUAGCACUUGUUUACCAAACUUCUUUUAAAGAAUUAUGAUCUCACUUGCAUCCCCAGGACGGAAAUCCUUGGAUUUAUUUAUCUGAUACUUUCGAGAACAUCGAUCAUAUAAUAUUCUCUUAAUCGUUUUUUACUUUUUUUUAUAAUUCAUUGAUUCGUAUGCUUGUCUUCUAAAUUUGAAAUGUUAGAUUCCUAUACCCUUUAUUAUAUAUAAACGUUCCAAGCUCUUCUUUUCUUCAUCCCACAAAAAUGGAACUUGCUUUGUAUAAUUCUCUACUUAUUUCAGCCAUUUUCUUCAUCCCUCUCCUGCUUUACUUUCUGCGUCACAAGAAGCUGGGGUCAACAGAAAAUGAGGCACAAACACUAUCACAGUUACUACAGCAGACGCCACCAGGCAGCAGCGGAUGGCCCUUGAUCGGUGAAACUGUAGAAUAUCUAUCCACCACCAAGGCAGGUAUCCCUGAAAAAUUUAUAAACGAUAGAAGGAAGAAAUACUCCUCCAAGCUCUUUAAGACGUCUUUGCUUGGCCAACCUAUGGUUCUUUUGUGCAAUGCUGAGGGAAACAAAUUUGUUUUCUCCAAUGAGAAUAGGCUUUUCACGACCUGGUGGCCUAGCUCCAUCGAUAAAUUCUUUGACACUCACAACGCAUCCAAGAGCGAGGAGGCCAUGAAAAUGCGCAAAUUUGUGACCCCAGUUCUGAAGCCAGACACACUUCGCAAGUAUGUGCAUAUUAUAGAUGCAAAGACAAGACAGCAUCUACGGGCACAUUGGGAUGGCAAACAAGUUAUUGAGGUACACCCUUUCGCCAAGGAUCUGACAUUUGUGUUAGCUUGUCGACUGCUCUUAGGCAUUCAUGAUGAGGAAGCAAUUGCGCAAUUUCAGAAGCCAUUUGGCCACUUUUCAGCAGGGCUUCUUUCGUUGCCUGUAGAUCUUCCAGGGACGAAUUUCAGGCGCGCUAUCAAGGCUGCCAAGGAGCUCAGGAAGGAGUUUGAAGUUAUGAUCAAGCGUUGGAAGAGUGACAGGUCACCAUCCCAAUCACAGGGUAUAUUGUCCCAACAUCUACUAGAGCUGAAUGAGGAGGGACAAGAAGAAUCCCAAAUGGCAACCAGGAUUUUAGCCUUGAUAAGUGCUUCUUAUGACAAUGUAAGCACCGCAAUGACUUUUGUCGUCAAGUAUCUAGCAGAGAUGCCCAACGUGUUCGAUGCAGUCUUGAGAGAGCAAAGCGAGAUUGCCAGAGAAAAAGAAGUGGAUGAGCCCUUGAAUUGGGAUGACAUACAAAAGAUGAGGUAUUCAUGGAAUGUGGCAAGUGAAGUGUUGCGACUCCAUCCACCAGCUAAUGGAGCUUUCAGAGAGGUCAUCACCAAUUUCUCAUAUGCUGGAUUUCUCAUUCCCAAAGGCUGGAAGCUGCACUGGAAUGCAUUCGCCACGCAUAAAAGUCCAGAAUACUUCCCGGACCCAGAA